rnacentral:lncRNA from 1 species
ACUCUGCUGCAUUCAGUGGAACCCCAAAAACCGUCCAUCAAUGACAAAGGUGGUAAACAUGCUGACAGGAAGGUUGCAGAAUCUACAUAUACCACCUAAGCCGUAUAUCUAGUCUGAAAGCCAUCAUAUGCCAUAAAACAUGGAGGACUUUUUUUUGUGAAAGUUUAUAACAUGGAGUACCUUGAUUUAGCAAGCAUGGUCAGGAGUCAGGAGUUACGCUUGAUUUCACGUGUGAACAACUAAACAUAGUAAUGCUUAGACGUAGCAUACACUGUAUUUGGAUCAUUCCACUGUAUCAGGUCACAUGAGGGUGACUUUGUUAGUCUUUGCUAUGUAAUAACUUAAUUCGAAACAUAUCACAUCGAAUUUGAUUUCCAGUGUCAUGGUUCAAUUGUUGAGGUUGCCUAGAAAAGCUGUUACUAUAAUUUCUCUCCACCCUUCAAUAUUGUGUGUUACUCCUCUAAGUCCCUGCAAACCUCAGUAGGUGUUCUACUUUACCAGUUCAUGGUUCAGAAUGCAGCCAAAAUAUUAGAAAAGCAUCAUCAUGCAGACCGCAGGGCAGUUAAGCAAUCAAACCUCAGUAAGGUUUUACUACAUAUCCUUCCCACAGGUUGGAAUUUCAUCGAAAUUGGUGAUAUGCCCGCGCAUUAUCAUCAUGCCGGGGCUAUGAAAUUGUGCGUGCUCAUUCCCUACUCCAAGGUAACACAAUUGUCCUGAGAUCUAGGAAUGCAAAAGCAAGAGCAAGGGCGUUAUUGUUACCUCUGUCAGUACCAAGUAGGAGGCGGAUUCGGAGAUCUGCGCCAGUUUCCGCACGUUGCCCUCAUCGAAGCGCAAGGUGGAAGCAUCGAGGGUCGGAGCCAUUCCGGCAUUCGGAGGUGGUGGUGGGGAGACGUGAGACUCCUGAUCGGCCGCCGAGCUUCGGUAAGGGGCUUACUGGAAUUUGUCAUUCGGUGGGCUACGACUGCGAUCAACGGGAAGCGGUGGCGCCCUGCAACGCGUGACCGGCGCGCCGCAGCGCCGGUGGGUGGGGUACGGCGAAGGAAGCGCUCGGGUUUGGUGGUGCGCCGGAGACGGUGGCGGUAAGGUCGCGAGGUGGUGGCGAGCUGGUGAUGAGCGCGAGGAGAGCAUGGCCCAUGGGCUCGGUUGGGCCCAUGUAGAAAUGUAUCGAGAGUUUGGCGGAUAUUUAUUUUUAUUUUUUUUGCCAUCCUUACUAAGUGUCAACAUUCAAAUGCCAGUUUUACAAAUAUCUUACCAUAUUUACAAAUGCCUUAACAUAUUUGCCAUAGGAGAGAGAAAAAUUCUUAUAUUUUUGCCAAAUUUGUAGACGUGGCAGGCCACGUCGGACGGCCACCGUGUAUAUGCCAUGCGAAAUGACAUAUGUACCCACGCGAGCCCACACUAAGACACCUUCCUUUCCUAUGAUAGCUACGUCCCACUCGUCAUCCCUAACCUCCGUCCCCCCAUCUGCUGAAGUUUCUUAAGAAGCCGUAGCCGCUUCAAAGCUCCCUCUUCCGUUGUCGGCGUCGCUCUUCGGUUUUACCAUCCCCUCUCCCGAACCUGCUCCUGCUCAUCUCUUUCCUUGCCGUGUCGGCGUGCAAUGAGGAGAACGGCCGUGCGCUCGCGGCGCUCUGGCGGGCACAUGACCCUGUCGGGCGGGUCCUGGGUUCCUAGAACCCCCUCCCUCUCCGGCGGUUCCUUUGUCAUCAUCACCUGCGACUGCGUCAAGGCCGUCUCACUACAGGACCCCGGGCUCUCCGGCAGCCUGGCACCUGCGGUCGUUGAGCUCCCUUCCAGGGGCUGUACCUGCACUCCAAUGGCAUCAAGGGACUAAUACCCGCAGACACAGCAGAGAGCGGAGGUAGGCCCGCGGCACGGGGCAAGAUCCGUCGCUAUUGGCCCAUCUGACCAUGAACUGGUCGCGGGCCUCGUGCUCAUGGUGGAUCUGAUGCCGCCGCCACUGGUCCUCGCCGUCGCAUCGUCGACAUGUGCCGACUGAGCGAUUCCCCACGUAACAUAUUUGUCGUGUCCAUUCGAUCCGCCCCUAGGCUCCGCUGUCAAUGCGGGCGCGGAGAUGAGCGUUGGCGGUGGGGAGGAGGUGGUGUUCUACGAGUCGCGGGACCGCUUGCUCUCCUCCUGGUCCACCACCUCUGCCUCAGACGACGACCACGACCACCCGCGACCGGCGAAGAUGGGUAGGAUAUGGUGCCACGGCGGCGAGGAGCUCAUUGCGGUUCGUGCGACAUGCGUUGCUACCCAAAGUAGAUGGGAGGGAGGGAGAUUAGGGAUGACAAGUGGGAUCCAGUUCUCAUAGAGAGAGGGAGUUGGGAGGAAGUAGACUGGCUGGCUAGGGCAAAUAGGUCAUUUCGCAUGAUCUAUCCAAGCUGGCCACCCGACGCUGGCUUGCCACGUCUGCAAAUUUGGCAAAGAUAUAAGAAUCCUUCUCUCUCCCGUGGCAGAUAUGUUAGAGUAUUUGUAAAGCUGGCAUUUGAAUGCCGGCACUCUGUAAGGAUGGCAAAAAAUUAAAUAUCCCAAAUUUAGACCGUAAAUAGAAGGCGAAAAUGUUCAGAGUUCGACGAAUUGAAACAUCUCUCGAAUCUUUAAAACACAAAACCUGAUCCUGAUAUUGGGCCAAAACCUGAUCCUAAAAGACAUUGCUAAGGGUCUAUGUUAUCUACAUGAGGAGUGCAUGAAGAGGAUUGCUCACUUGGACGUCAAACCACAAAACAUCCUCUUAGAUGAAAACUUCAAUGCUAAAAUUUCUGAUUUCGGAUUAAGUAAGCUCAUUGAUCGGGAUAAGAGCCAAGUGAUCUGAUUACAAGAAUGAGAGGCACACCUGGAUAUUUAGCUCCUGAGUGGUUGACAUCCCAAAUCACAGAAAAAGCCAAUGUAUAUAGCUUUGGCGUUGUGGUCAUGGAAAUCAUCAGCGGUAGAAAGAAUCUUGACACUUCGCGGUCUGAAGAAAGCAUCCAUCUUAUUACCCUUCUAGAAGAAAAGGUGAAGAGUGAUGAGUUAGAAGAUUUGAUUGACAAGUACAGUAGUGACAUGCAAGUACACAAGCAAGAAGUAUUGGAGAUGAUGAGGCUUGCAAUGUGGUGUUUACAAAUUGAUUCUAAAAGAAGGCCUCAAAUGUCUGAGGUGAUCAAAGUCUUGGAAGGUCACAUGAACGCAGAAAGCAAAAUUGAUCAUAACUUUGUCGCAACAAGUAAAACAAUGUUUGGUAUUGCUGAAAAUACAGGUUCCUCAGAUCCACCUCAAGCCUCACAUUUAUCAGGCCCCAGGUGAAAUGGGGGUAACUGUGAGAAGUUAGUAGCCUAGGUUAGACACAGAUAUGUGUAUCCAGGAAAAGCCAUUAUCUGUUUUAUUUUUUCCCAAGUUACUAUAAUUCUUUUGUUUGGUUUCCCAUUGUAACACAAAUCUGUUGUAGCAGUUUUCUUUUUCUGAAAGUUAUAAUCAAAAUGCUAAUAUGAACAGGCUCAAAGCAAAUUGGGAGUUGGGUUUUUUUAUCUCCAAAAUGCUGAAGUGGAAAGAGAGGGAAAAAAGUAGUACUAGUACAUAAGUGGGUGGUAUUGCAUAUUCUCCAAAGUGUUUCCAGCCAUGGAUUUUCUACUGAAAUUAAGUUUCUUGUCCUAGUCGUGAACUACUUUUCCGUGUAUCGCAAAAGUGUUACGGCCUUGCUGUUGUGGGGAUUCAUCUCCACUACAAACCUUGAUUAUCAGUAUCGAGUGACUCUAUGCAGCUGCACAACGAAUUAACUACCACCUCAUUGCACAAGCCAUCCAGAGUGAGCAACCGGAAGGCAAGAGACACUCACCUAAAUUAAUGCAGAGAAGGGAUGCGGCGAUGGAUGAGGCGCCCUGCAGGGCGGCCUCCUUCCCCUAUGGUGGUGGUCGGUGAGGACCGACUUUGUACCGGGGGCGCCUGAGAGGACGGGAAGCAGAGAUCCUCCAGUGGAACAGCACAGCGGCGGCACAUGCAAGGAGAGCAGAUUGUCCAGAUCGCCGCCGUCGCCGCCUCAGUCGGAGCACCGGCACCGCCAGGAUGCGUGUGCAACGGGACUUGGGAGAAGGAAGGAGAUGGAGAUGGACGGAUGGUCUCCCCGCGACAGUUUGGGCUGAGGCUCUCUAUAGUUGAGGUGGGCUGGGCCUCCUUGCAAUAAUAACGAUUGGGCCUUGAGGCACUAGUACACGGUUGACUGGGGAAGCAGUCCACCAAAGCUCAGCCCAUAGAGGGUAAGCCUCUCAUGAGGACCGUGUUACUUUGAUAAAAAAAACGUUAAAGUGAGCUUAUGGUCAAACAGCAUAUCAAGAGGAUCCAGGCUGUUUCUCGCGGUCAAAAAGCUCGAUGCUUACAACUUCAACAAACAGAUGUGUUUAGGGCUACAUGGGGAUGCAAUGCAUUAUGAUGAUCAUCUGUGCCGAUCAAAAUUACCUAGCAUGCAUCGGGCAUGCAUGACAGAGCGGCUGCAGCACAAUCACUGAAUGAAAAAAAACCAUCUCUAUGCAAUUGGCAAACAUGAAGUUAUCCAACGGCCAUACUGCUACUAUUGAUCUCCAUCAUAGGCCAUUUGUUCUGGUUAUAGUGGAUCCAGCCUCAACCCUGGAGAUCAAGCACGAAUGCCCAAAUGUUUCCGACCUUUCCUCCAAUACCUACAUUUUACAACUUCACUUUACGAAGCUUGAUAUGCAUAAUAUCGAUAUGCACAAGAAAUGCAAUGCUAGGAAAGCCUUUUUUUGUUAUCUUUUGUUUUUAAGGAAGGCAUCCAAAAGGCAGCGCUGGAUUGGAUGAGCCACCCGACAUGGGCCCUAUGGCGGUGUCCAAUGAGGACAGACGGCGUGCAGAGGUUGAGAGGGCCAUCCAGAUCGCCGCAAUCAGAAGGCCCACCAGCGGCCUACUGUCGCUCCAGCGACCUCGCGCCGCUGGGAUUAGGGUUCGGGGUUGCCGAACCUAGAGAGGAUCGUCGGAGGCUGCCGGACAGGCGGUGGGGUCGGUCAAGAUGGAGGCGAGGCGGGGGGCGGCCCCCGCCGGAGCGGUAGGAGAUGGCAGCCGGACAGGGAUGGUGGCGGGGGCGUGGAGCUCGGAAAAGAUUAGCGAUGGCCGCAAUGGGUGGCGGAGGUGUCGGAGCGAUGCCAGAGCCAGAGGAGGAGGUGGUAGGCAGGGGAGUUGGGCCGGCCUGUCUGCGCCCCUCCUUCUUCCACUUCUGGGACGCGCUCCCUCGCAGACGCACUUGCGACUGCGAGUAGCGCCCGCCAUCGCCGCCACGGCCGGGGCACCGGAGCCGCCGGGAUGCAUGUGCGGAAGGGGAUGGUUCCCCCGUAAAAGUAUGGGCCUGCUACCUCCAUAUCUGAGUUGGGCUGGGCUUCCCUUAAAUAGUGAGUGGGCUGUGUUUCUUCGACCAAAACCAAACCGAAUAACCGGCCCGCGCGCGUGCUAUCGGGGGAAGCGCAUGGCGAGCAGCAAGCUCGUCAGCUAGCGCUGCUAGUGGGGGCGGCCGCCGCUCAACGAAGAAGAACUGAAGAACCAGCACGCCGACGAAGCUUCACCAUGCCGUGCAUGGCUCAGACCUGGAAGUUGGAAGUGCAGCAGAACCCGUGGAUGUACGUGUGCUGCGAAUGCGCACUGGCCACUGGGGCAAUGGAAAGUUCAGAAAUGCUGCAGAAUCUAUCCACAUGUCAUGAUGCUUUCGGCUAACCAUCAGAUGAGUUUGUUCGUUCACCUGUAUGAAUGAAUCCACAAAGUUGGAAAAAAAUCUAUUUUAAUCGCGAACAGCAAGCAUAUUUCCUGCUUGAAAGUGAACAUUUCUCGAUUUGUGAAGUACAAGGGUUGACGAUAUUCACAACAAAGGUCAGGUAUCUACAAAUGUAAAACGGGACUGUUAGCCGCAGUCGUCUCCAUGGAUCAGUCAGUAACAACCGAUGUAAGUAUAAAAAAAUAACAACCGAUGCGUACAAUAGUCACUCAAGUUCGGUUACUUUAUGAGAGAAUCGGCAUUAGAGAAAGGUAGCAAAGUAGGGGGAUAAAUACUAGAGGAAGGGCAAUGAUAGAGAUUGCGUACUGUUUCUGAAUCUAUUGAUCAAUGAUCUGAUUCCAUGCCUUGCCCUGAUAAUUGUAUAGCCCCCUGCCUGUGACUUGCGAGUUGGUUGGGCCAAUCCCAUUCCAAGUGAAGGCAGUCUCCAGACCACCAAUAUGAAGAUACAGAUAAGCCCUAAAACUGAACUCCAGUGCUUCUUCCAGGGGUUCGUCCAGGGACCAUAUGACAUGACAGUGUUACCUGCAGCAGCAUAACUGAAUGAAAAUACCCUCUCUCUCUAUAACAUGCAGUUCGCAAACAUAAAAAAGUUUAUCCAACAUCCAUCAUACUUCUCUAGAUCUCCAUAUAAAAUAGACACACACAGCCUUAACCACAUGAGCCUGGAGAUGCUCGCCUCAAGAUCAAUUGCCAAUAAUUUUCUUAAAUUUCUCGCUUUUCUCCAUAGGAUAAGCAUGGCAUGCAUAUCUUGUCACUAAGAUCUUGUUUGGUUCGCUUCCAAAAUGUGCCGUAUCAAAAUAUAGGCAAGCUCAUAAAUUUUGGCACUUGUUUGGUUGAAGGCCAAAAAAAGUAGCCCACCUAACUAAGUGCUAUUCUAAACUUGCCAAGAUUUUGGUAAAAAAAAAAGAUAGGCUCCCACGUUUUGGUAUUGCCCAUAUUUGGACAUGCCUAUAUUUUGGCAUCCAUCCAAGUACGUUCUAAAACAUUUGGUAAUCUAGCUGGAUUACAAGAAUGUCCAGUAGCCAAGUCAUAAAAAAAAUCCACCCAUAAUGACCGACGACGUCAUGAUCGCAAGGUUAUGUCUUGAAAUGAGACGUCUUAGCCCAUUGUUGAGGCCAUCACUGGUCAGUCAAAGCAACUAAGGCUGAGCUGACUCCACGUGGCUGCAUCUGAAUAGUAGCAUUCACAUAUGCCGUGCACGCUGGGUCACAUACUAAUUUUCAUUCCACCUGCCGCCGGAGGCUGUGGCAACACGUGCAUGGUGUUCAAUCAGGAAAAGAAGUGCUGCAAUAAUAGGGUGGGAUGGUGCCUAGACUUGCGAACCCACCACUGACUCGGUGCUCUUCAUCCGAUGUGCCUAGACGCCUGUAGCUACACGUUCGACAGUAGCUCGAGCGCUGUGUGUUCAAUUGCAGUCAGAAUUCUUCCCAACGCAUUCGCUCACGUUUCAGAACUCGCGUGACCUGAUCAACAAGUCCUGAUUGUUUAACUGGCGCCUCGACUGCGCAUCCUGAGUUCCUGACCCGUGUAAAGGACAAGAUGAGCACCUUGCUGGAAUGUGCAGAGAGGAGUAGUACACACAUAUGGAAGGGUGCAGAGAUCAUAUCAACUAAAUUUUAGGAAUUUAGUGAAGUGCUAAAUUGGAACUUUGGAACUCAAAUCUGAUGCAAUAUGUUUCUUAUUAAGAGUAGUACAUGGUGAAGACCGGCAACUCUUGCCUCAGGAGGAUAAUACAGGGGAAUGAUAAAGCAUUACAUGAUAGUGCUGGCAUAAAUAUGUGUGGAUUAUGCAUAGCUGCCAUAUACUCCUGAGGCAAGAGAAAACGACGUGUUCUCGAGGUCUUUUUAGGAAACCACACAAUCACUGUAUCACACACGGACAACCAUGAGCUUAGUACGACAAUCUACAAACGGACAGACAUCUGUCUCCAUACAUUUAAGACACACAUACAGAAACAAAGUAUUUCACUCAUCCUCCUCCUCUAUCACAUUCAGUUCGGAGGACAGAGAGUACGAAGCCACUUCAGGAAGCAUCUCCUCGUCACAGAAGAACGGCCUCGGGGGCAUUUGCAGAGCGUCCGCAUCCCCUUCGAGCAUCUCUAUGACCUCGCUCAUCGUCGGCCGAUCACGAGGCUUCAUCUGGAUGCACCAGAGCCCAACGACGCACAGCUUCUUCUCCAGCUCGUGCAUGUCGACAUCUUCACUGAUCUCCCCAACCUGCUCCCCAGUCAGCUGGCCAUACACCAGCGAUGGGUAGUACGCCUGGCUGGAGCUCCCGGCGUCCGGGUCAGCGUUCCUGCGCCCUCCGGCCAUCUCCAGUAGCAGCAUCCCGAAGCUGUACACGUCGGACUUGCUGGAUAUGGCGCCGAAGCUCCGUGACACCAUCUCCGGAGCUAUGUAGCCGAUCGUUCCCCGCAUGGCGCUCAGUGGCACGAAGCUGUUAUCCCUUGGGAACAGCUUGGCGAGCCCAAAGUCAGCAACUUUCGGGAUGAAGUUGCUGUCGAGAAGGAUGUUGUGCGGCUUGAUGUCGAAGUGUACGAUCUGCAUGUCACACCCCUGGUGCAGGUAGUUGAUGCCUCUAGCGAUGCCUAGGGCAAUCUCAUUGAGCUUGUCCCACGAGAAGCUCUUCUCCGACGAGAAGAUGUACCUGUCGAGAGAUCCCCGGGGCAUGAACUCGUAGAUGAGUGCCCUGACCGUUUCCUCGGAGCAGAACCCGACGAGGCGCACCACAUUAACAUGGUGGAUCUUGCCAAUGGUGGCGACCUCGCUGAUGAAGUCUUCUCCGUUGCAGCUGGAGCUGCCUAGCAUCUUGACCGCAAUGGGAACGCCGCCUGGCAGCAGCACGCCCUUGUAUACGGAGCCAUAGCCUCCUUGGCCGAGCUUCUCUCUGAAAUGGCCUGUGACCGCAAUGAUGUCUGUGUAGGCGUAUCUCGUUGUUACAAGCAUUUGCUGCAUUCGUAGAAACCUCUCGACUGCAUCGAUGGUUAUUCUUGUUUUCCAGUACCUAUGGGCAAGGAAGGCAAACACUGCCAGAGGCACCAAUAUGUACCUGCAAAGAACUGCACAGAAACCAAGGUUGUGUAUAUGAAAAAAGAAAUGCUUUGGCGAGAAUGUGUUAAUUCAAUAGAAUGAUGCAGCUAAGACGAUGAUGUAUGGAGAUCUGAAGUGAGUACCAUGAAUAAACUUGAGAACCAACAUAGCAGCCGCUAAUAUUUCACUGAUGAUGCUGAGGAGAAAAGAUGUCACACGAUUAUUAGCUGAUAUAAAUUGCAUAGCAACGCACCACCAGAAAUCAAAGUCAAAUGUAAGAAUGUCCACAGUCCGAUGCUUGGUGCCCUUGUUAAGGAAAUCAUAACGGAACUCACUGCAAGACCAUGCCAUAGCAUAGAAAUUAAGGAAUUACAUUGGGACGAACCAAAUAACGCCUUUACCCUUCGAGUAAUGAUCAGAUACUCACCUCUUCGACCGUACGAGGCACUCUCUGGUGUUCUCAAGAGUCGUAUAAGGAAAUCGAAGAGCAAAUCCUUCCCUCAUGAGCUUAAUAACAUCUAGAUAGCUUAAUCCCUCAAAAGCAUUAAUAUCAUCUAGAUAGCUUGCAUUCCUAGACACCAGCAUUUCUGGACCACCCCAAGGAGUCAUAGCCAGGAAACCGCACGAGGGCGCAAAAUAAUCAGCUCUGGCAGAGUAGGAAGGUCUUAUUGACACAUAGAUGAAAGAAUCUGCUGUGCUCAGGCAUUUGACCAAUGAACCAUUGUACUUUAUUUCCUGCGAGCAAUUCAUAAAGAUAGCCAGCCAAUCACCGGGGUGGGACAGCUCAAUGCUGCGAUGUGAGUUGCCAUGGUAGUUAUAAUUAUCAUCUCUGUAGUCCCACCGCGGAAGGGGGCAACUGUUUUCCAUGCCCAAGUUGGUGUCAACAACCCAGAAGUGAGAAAGAGUGUAGUUGAUGCUAAGCACGUUGUAUGUUCCACUGCCGAUGCGGAUCGUAGCGCUGGUCUCUGUGCAAACCAGCUCGUACGAUUGAACACCACACCCAUGUGGAUCACCUUGCCGACGGAAGGGAUACGAUACGUUGCUAAAACCACCGCAGGAGAAAGGAGGACAGAGAACAUGAUGCCGUCCCCCUACAUCUGCAACAAGAACAGCAAACACAGAUAAUAAUACAGAGAAGGCUCGCAGGGAAGUAGUAGAGCAAUGAGAUGAAGCAGACAUCGCCAUGGCAGGAAGGUUCGUGCUACAUAGAACGGCAAGCCAACGAACGGGGGCAAAGAUGACUGAGUAGCUAUAAAGUCACUACUCAAGGUAGCAGCAGGGGGAGCAAUCAAUCACUAUUUGUGCAAGAAAACUGCGUAUACUAGCAUUACAUGAUCGUGAUGCCACUGACUUUUAACUCGGUAGUCUUUCUUCUCCGUUUCUCUUUUUUGUCCGCGUGGGCCCUUUGAUGGGACCGAAUGGUACUAUAUGAUUGUGAUGCCACUAACUUUUGACCUGGUAAUCUUUCUUUUCCAUUUCUCUUUUUUAGUAUGCAUGGCCCCUUUGAUGGGACCGAAGAGGAACAAGUUUAACCGUUCAUUGAGGUAUAAUAUAUUUUUUUACUUGGAUAUUGAAUUGUGUUGUGUGUGUGUUUACGAAAUAUAGUACAAAUGCAAAUGCUUACAUGCAUGCAUGCACACUCUCCCUUAUAUAAGCAUCUCUAAGAAUCUGAACCAGCAGAUCUCAAGAUUGACAAGUUAGCAUAUACGCCUCACCGUGAGCGGGCACGCUAUCUACCACUACAAGAAUAGUUUCAGGAAAAUGUAAGAACCCGUACCAAGUUAAUAACUCGAAUCCGGAUAUGCAAAUUCUACCAUAAGAAAUUUUACCAGCUAAACUAGCUUCAAUCCGCUGUUCUGUAAGUUUUACUCCUUAAUAGAAAAUACCGCACUUGGUGUGUUCUCCAAAAGAAAAAUGCAUCCUUAGUGGGCAUGAUAAAAAGGUGCAUCCUUAAAAUGCAUCCUUAGUGGGCAUGAUAAAAAAAGUGCAUCCUUAGUGGCAUGAUAUGAAUUUUCCGUAGGCUACACAACCAGAACAAGGCAGGCAUCAGGCCACCAGCAAAGAAGAAAUAAUUCAUUAAUAAUAGUGGUAUAAAAUACGGAAUUUAAAAAAUCUGUAAGAAAAAUACUCCGGUUUUAAAUAUAUGAUAUGAUUUAAACUAAUUAAGCUGUCCAUAACACCAUAUAUUUAAUAUCGGAGUACGUGACCUUCCUCAGUAGAUUUUUCAAGCACUUCUGUGGUGUCUGGUUGUUUCCUGCGAACUAAUUAAGAUGCUCUACGCACAACGCAAUGCAACCACCGUAACCCGGCAUCAGUUUCCCUUUUAAACUGUAAUACUCCACACCAGUCACUCAGCUAUCACCAAACCUUAUUGGAAUUCAAAACUUGGAAAAUCAUAUCACUAUCCAACCCGGAACUGGCUGGCCAAGACAGGUUCCCUGCUGGCCGUGCUCCAGACCUGGUCCUGGCCAACAAAAAACAGUGGGAAAAAUACUAGGAAAAUUCAGAAAUGUUUAUUAGGAAGGUCUUAAUUACUUCUCCUAUUUUAAAUUGUAAGUCGUUUUGUCUUUUCUAUAUACAUAAUAUUUACUAUAUAUUUAGAUAAUAGUGUAUAUCUAGAUAAAUGUAUACUAAAAUCUAUGUGUCUAGAAAACGAAAAAGAUUUAUAAUUUAGAAUGGAGGGAGUAACUGAUUUGGAGGCUGACUCCAUUUUUUUAUUUUACCCAUAGGAGGGCAUUAAUAAUAAUAAGACGAAGAUAUAUUAACUUGCAAGAAAAUCAUACAUCUUGCAAAGUGCUCAAAUGGGUCAUACUCACGCAUCUUGACUCGGGAGGUGCAAUUGUGACCUGGGCCCAUUUUGCGUGGCCUGGACGGCCAGACUAGACUGCACCAGUUCACCCCCAUUUGCUGAUGUGUUGUCUUCUAACUUUCACAUGCCAUCAAUCCCAUAGGCUGCUAGGCAGUAGUGACCAGACCAUCACAUAUAGCAACAAUCAAGCUAAUCCUCGCCAUAGGUCCUCCAUCAUCUCAUCAGCAGCUUCCAGCCGGGCCGAUGGACCCUUCUUCAACAUUCUGUGGCUCCUACUGUACCAAAUCACCAGUUUGUGCAGAUAGAUGCGCAAAGAUUCCAGGACCAAAUCACCAGGUUGAAGGGGUUAGAUGUAAGAGCUGCAGAAAUUGCUUCAUCCUAGCUAUACGCUGGCACGCUGCCGUCAUGGUCUUAACCACCACUUUUUGUUGUGCACUGCCGUCGUGGUUGCGCAGGUGCCGAACCAACUCUUCAGCCACUGAAACACGGCAGUAAGUUCCCCCCAGUGGCCGUAAAGAAUCAUCGCCAAUUACUCAUCUAUCACAAACCCAUCAGAAUUCAAAGCUCUCAUGUAGUGCUUUGACUAUGGAAAAUAUUAGUCAAGAAUGCAUCAAUACCAAGUAACUGAUAGGAAUAGUUUUCGUAUGAUGUGACCGCAAAUAAAUUAUCACUGGUUUCCUGAAACCCCGUCACUAUCCCAGCAAUUGAAGUUCCAUUGGCAGCAGGAAUUCCAGCAAGCAGCUAUCAUGAUAAGGACGGAAUCCAUCCGUCCAAGAGGUUAAGGCCCUGUUUGGCUCCGCUUCUAGCCCCGCUUCCUAGCAAUUUUAAGCCGCUACCCGGCCAAACGCUUCGCUUCUUGAAGCGCUUCCCCCGCCAGCGCUUCCCCGACCUCGUUCAGAAACGCGGGUAACGAGCAGCGGGAGCGGACCAGCUUCUAGGCCGCUUCCCCGCGCUGGCCCCUGCCUCCCCGCGCCGGCCCCCGCCUCCCCCCGCGCGCCGACCCCCGCCUCCCCCCGCGCCGGCGGCCCCUCCCCCGCCCCACGCGCCGGCCCCCGCCUCCCCCCGCGCCCCGCGGCGGCCCCUGCGCCGCUCCCCCGCCCCUCCCCCGCCCCACGCGCCGCUCCCCCGCCUCCCCCCGCGCGCCGGCCCCCGCUUCCCCGCGCUGGCCCCCGCCUCCCCCCGCCCCCGCGGCGGCCCCUGCGCCGCCCCCCGCGGCGGCCCCGGCGCCGCUUCCCCGCGCCGGCGGCCCUUGCGCAGCUCCCCCGCGCCGGCCUCCGCUCCCCGCGCCCGCCUCCGCCCCGCGCCCGCCCCCGGCCUCUGCCCCCGCUCCCCGCGCCCGGCGCUGGCCCCCGCCCCCGUGCCCCGCGCCGGCCUCCGCCCCCGAGCCCGCCUCCGCCCCCCGCGCCCGCCUCCGCUCCCCGCGCCCGCCUCCGUCCCCGCGCCUAGCGCCGGCCCCCGCCCCCGCGCCCUGCGCCGCCCUGCGCCGGCCCCCGCCCCCCCCCCCCCCCCCGCCCCCCACCCGCCCUGCGCCGGCCUCUGGCUCCUAAUUGCAUGAUUAAUUGUAUCAUUAUCUUGCUUGACAGUAAUCUAUGAUUAAUUUUAUGAUAUAUUAAUUGUUAAUAAUUUAUAAACAAGUUUCAGCUGUGCCAAACAGGGCCUGUGACCAGCUGCUUCUUUAACCAGCUGCUUCUCUUGCCAGCUAGCCACCAGCUGGCUUCUGAAUAAGUUUCAGCUGUGCCAAACAGGGCCUAAAGCAAACGUGUGCUCAUUCUGAAUCACUUGCAAACCUUCUCUUCGCCCACCUCCAUCCCCAAAUACACUCCAUGGAUUUGCAUAAAUUUCUUCUCUCAGCGCUGCUGCUUUCACUUCUGAACUAUGCAUCCUCUGCUGCCAAAUCAUGGGAAGAAGAAGACUUCCUCAAAACUUGUCCAUCACAUAGAUGCAGCAAACAUCAUGGGCCAGAGAUCAGGUUCCCGUUUCGGCUUUCAACCCACCCUCGAUCAUGUGGCGCACCUGGGAUGCAGUUGUCAUGCUCUGGCCAUGACACAAUCCUAGAUCACCCAAUUCUUGGUUCCUGAAAAGUGACUGCAAUAUAUUACAGGCAUCUUGUCAUGAACGUCAUCCCACUCGCGUACUCAUCAUCAAGCUGCCCGCUUCAGAAGCUCAUCUCAACAAAUCAAUCUACUGAUGUGUAUAGACCUAUUCAUCAGCGGGAUUUAUAUGAUUCAGUACUAGUAGGUUGCUCAAUAGAUUCUAUAGCAACAAAUCAAGGAGGUAUAGUUGGCCCAAGCUCUUGCCUAAGCCUCAGUAACAACGCAAGCCAGUUCUGGUAUCUGGUGCUAUCUCGAACAGAUAUGUCUACUCUUCCCUUAGGGUGUGUGGUGGUCGCAAAAUCCAUCCCAAUACCCUACACUUAUGAUAAAAAUGGCCCAAAGUUUCGGACAUUCUUUGGCAAGCUACUCUUCAAAGAUAGGGCAAAAGGAGCAAUCGACUUAGGCGAAACACCAUUGAAUUGGAGCCUCAGCAGCAUUACCAGCAUUUGUCAAAGGUGUGAACAGGAAGGGCGACAUUGUGGAUUCAGUUCAGACCAUGGACAAGCAUUCUGCCAGCAUCACGGUAUUAUUUUCCUAGCCCAGAUCCCAUACUGUCGUGGUGUUCCAUUUUAAGUUGUAGCAAACUGCAUCUUCAUUUAGCAUGUAUUAGCCUUAGAAUCUCUACUUUAUCAAACGCCCUCACACUUCCCACAAGAUUUCCACUAACGGCUGAAUAGUUUUACAAAAUUAUACUGUGAGCCUUCUGUUUCUGCGUAGUAAGAUCAUGUUAACGCUCCUUGUUUUUCUAUCUUAUGUUGUAAAGGAACUUUGAGUCACAUUAACCUACAAUAUACAGAUUUUUGCAUACAGAUAAACUAUUUUACAAAAUUCAACUGCAAAUAAGUCCAAUCGGUUCUUCUCUAUCACUAGCUAGCGUUCCGUUGUAGAUCUUUGUGGUAGCUUACAGUAAAUGUAGAUUCUAUAGAGACUAGAGACAUCCAAUGCCCAAUGGCUAGCUUCUGGAAGCACAAUAAGGCUAUAGAGUCAUCCAAGGCAACAGAUGAUAAUGUUGAAUUAUAAUGGUAAUGUUCGAAACAGGUAAAUAGAAAUAAGAUACAUUUGUAUAAGGACAACUGCAAUCAUCAGUAAAUUGGCUAGUGACUUAAUCAUGGAAGUUUUUGUCUGAUGGAGUAAUAGUUCUUAUACCAUAUACCUGCGUGUGCAAGUGAAAAAUCCAUAUUGGUGAAAAUAAUAUCAUUAUUAUGUAAAAAACUUCUAUAAUAUAUAUUUUUUACUAGAUUAUAAAAAGGAAUUGUCAAAAUCUCUUAAUAGAUACUGCAAAAGGUUAGGAACCUCCGUUCAGUGAGAGCUGCAAAGGUGCACUGUUGCAGGCAGCAUUUUAGAAAUGCUUUAAUUUUUCUUGUAAAAACAAAUCACGGGAAGUCUAAUUUUCACUCUUCAUACCUGCAGGUUCGAAUGUCAAACUCAUUGCAGGUAACACUGCCACUGAAAAUUUACCUUUCCGAUUGAAUUUUUUGUUGCUACACCCCAAAUUUUAUGCUAUAAUGUUCAAUAAUAACCACUAUAUUAUUUUCCAACCAAGUAAUUUGACCAUGGGACAUAGCUAUUCCUUUUCAUUGUGCGGUUUGCUCAUUUAUUUUCUUUUAAUUCAGCUACAACAUCGGUAGCCACCUUCAUUGUUCUAGUGACCACUGCACUCUAUCUUUUACUGAAGAAAAGAUAUAAUGAAGCAAUACAUUUGAAAGUUGAAAUGUUUCUCAAGACAUAUGGCACCUCCAAACCCACAAGGUACACUUUCUCUGAAGUUAAGAAGAUAGCAAGACGGUUCAAGGAAAAAGUAGGCCAGGGUGGAUUUGGAAGUGUUUACAAAGGACAGCUACCAAAUGGUGUAUCAGUGGCGGUCAAGAUGUUAGAGAACUCUACAGGCGAGGGAGAAGAUUUCAUCAGCGAAGUAGCAACCAUUGGGCAAAUUCACCAUGCAAAUAUUGUCCGUCUCCUGGGAUUUUGCUCUGAAGGAACAAGACGCGCGCUUAUUUACGAAUUCAUGCCUAACGAGUCAUUGGAGAGAUAUAUAUUCUUGCAUGAUUCCAGUAUUUCCCAAGAGCUUCUAGUACCUCACAAAAUGCUACAGAUUGCUAAAGGCAUUGCUAGAGGAAUGGAGUACCUGCAUCAAGGAUGCAACCAGCGCAUCCUCCAUUUUGACAUCAAACCUCACAACAUCUUGCUAGACUACAGCUUCAAUCCAAAAAUUUCGGAUUUUGGCCUUGCUAAGCUGUGUGCAAGGGACCAAAGCAUUGUUACCUUGACUGCAGCAAGAGGCACAAUGGGCUAUAUUGCCCCGGAGAUAUAUUCUCGAAAUUUUGGUGGGAUAUCAUACAAGUCAGAUGUUUACAGUUUCGGCAUGCUGGUGUUAGAGAUGUUGAGCGGAAGAAGAAACUCAGAUCCAGGUAUUGAGAACCAAAACGAGGUUUACCUCCCACAGUGGAUCUACAAGAGAGUAAUCGCUGGGCAAGACCUGGUACCUAAUAGGGAAAUUACAAAAGAGGAGAAAGAAAAGGUGAAGCAGAUGGCCAUUGUGGCACUCUGGUGCAUUCAGUGGAACCCCAAAAACCGUCCAUCAAUGACAAAGGUGGUAAACGUGCUGACAGGAAGGUUGCAGAAUCUACAUAUAGCACCUAAGCCGUAUAUCUAGUCUGAAAGCCAUCAUAUGCCAUAAAACAUGGAGGACUUUUUUUGUGAAAGUUUAAAGCAUGGAGUACCUUGAUUUAGCAAGCAUGGUCAGGAGUCAGGAGUUACGCUUGAUUUCACGUGUGAACAACUAAACAUAGUAAUGCUUAGACGUAGC